rnacentral:rRNA from 1 species
CACGUAGGGGGCAAGCGUUGUCCGGAUUUAUUGGGCGUAAAGAGCUCGUAGGCGGAUUGUUAAGUCGGGGGUGAAAUCCUGGAGCUCAACUCCAGAACUGCCUUCGAUACUGGCGAUCUCGAGUCCGGGAGAGGUGAGUGGAACUGCGAGUGUAGAGGUGAAAUUCGUAGAUAUUCGCAAGAACACCAGUGGCGAAGGCGGCUCACUGGCCCGGUACUGACGCUGAGGUGCGAAAGCGUGGGGAGCAAACAGG